rnacentral:rRNA from 1 species
AUUGAACGCUGGCGGCAUGCCUUACACAUGCAAGUCGAACGGCAGCACGGGAGCUUGCUCCUGGUGGCGAGUGGCGAACGGGUGAGUAAUACAUCGGAACGUACCCUGAAGUGGGGGAUAACGUAGCGAAAGUUACGCUAAUACCGCAUAUUCUGUGAGCAGGAAAGAGGGGGAUCGCAAGACCUCUUGCUUUAGGAGCGGCCGAUGUCGGAUUAGCUAGUUGGUGAGGUAAAGGCUCACCAAGGCGACGAUCCGUAUCGGGUCUGAGAGGAUGAUCCGCCACACUGGGACUGAGACACGGCCCAGACUCCUACGGGAGGCAGCAGUGGGGAAUUUUGGGACAAUGGGCGCAAGCCUGAUCCAGCCAUGCCGCGUGAGUGAAGAA